AUCAGCAAGGACUGAGGGGCAAAACAUGACACGUGUACUCCUGCUUUUUAACAUUCAGCCGUCUUUUGAUUUUAGGAAACGAAGUGAACUUAUGCUUUUUCGUUGGCCCAUUACAAAUGCUUAUAUUGUUGUCCGUUUAAAUUAGGUCAAUAACCCAUUGCUUAAAAGUUAAAACGUUUUCGACCUCUCUCUCCUCUAUGGUCGAAACUCUCAUAGCUACCUCCGCCUUUCUGAAACCGUCAAAAUUACUCCAAUCAUCCACUCCUCUGCGAUUAAAGAUUUGAUGUGGUUGAUGGCAUUCAUUCAUAGCAAUAAAUUCAUCUGUCCAGCUUUCAAGCGUUCCUCACCUAUCUCAUACACUAUAUAUGAAUGAUGAACUCUCCUAGGUGUACUUUGUAAGGUUGCUGGUCUAAUACCAAUAUCUCGAGAAGGAGAAUGAUGAUGUGGAUAUCAAAAUUGGCAAAGGCUGUCUGCUUCGUGACAGGAUUGACAUGGAAAGGCGGGCACGAUGAAGCUGCAGCUGCUACGAUGUACCUAAAGGACACACUUACUACUGAAGAACAGCAACAACUAAUCACAUGUCUCUCCAAAGAUAAAGUAGAUAAUCCUCCCCCUCAUGAGAUCAUAAUCUCUCUAUAGUUAAUCUUUUAAUUGGUCUUUGUAUUGUAUCUGGUUUCUGAAUAGAGGAACGAAUUAUAGUGGAAAACAUUUACGGGUGGGGAAGUUGGGAAAUAAGCCAGAAAAUGCAACAAAAUAAGUAUCAAUAAGGAAAAAAAGAGUGCUCUGAUUUUAUGAAACCAGUCAGAAACUACUACUCGUGGUUGUGUUGAAGUUAGCUUCUUAGUACUGAGAGAAAACAAUGUACACAAUCUAUAGAUAAUAUUAUAUUCGAUUUAUUAUUCCAAAGAAAACCUUAGAAAUCAAUGGGAUGACGUGAUCAUAGUCCAUAUUUGCCAAUGUUAUUUGUGUUACGUCGGCUCUUCUUCCGGGCUCUUUUUCCUGUACCACACCUUGCUGCCCUUUUUGGAAGGUAUGUUUGCUUGCUUCGACCAAACCCAUCUCAUAGUCACUAAGAUUCGAUUUUAAGUGUUGGUUUGUUUGCUCAUGAUUGUUGUUCUCUGUUUCUUGAGACAAAUGCAGGGGAUUGCAGAGCUGUUCUCUGUAAGAAUGUGAAGCAAUAAAUAUGUCUCAAGACGAGACCAAUCUACUUACCAGAAAGAACAAGAGUGGAAGCUUUGUCAAUGACGGUUACUUAAACGGCAUUCUAUAAGUCACACAAGCUCUAGGCGAUUAGGACAUCGCAUAGCCAGAGAUCAAACAUAUACGUUAACAGAGGAAGACGAGUUUCUGAUAAUGAGAUGUGAGGGGAUUUGGGACGUUUUGACAAGUCAAGAAGAAGUGACAGAGCUUGCUUUAGAGGCUUCAAGGCUAAAUACAUUUGAUAACGUUUUGGUGGUUGUUGUUUGUUUCUUGUCGGCUGACGAAAUGGUGACGCGGCUCCUCCGGCGGAGAAGCAAUGGUGUUGUAGUUUGACUGCAGAAGCCUUUUAGAGCUUGAGGGUCUUAUAGGAUAGUUGUUUAAAAAGAUGAUGACGUUCCCUUUAGUGUUCUUGGCCAAGUUUUUUCUUGCUUUUGUAUAUAACUUUAAGUGUCUACGUGCUCCAUUUUUGUGCUCCAUGUAGUUCCCUCUUGAAAUUCAUGAGGAUUCAUUUUUGUAUAUAAUUGAAAUAGUGUUAUUUUAACGAAAUAAUUUUGUUCUUUCAA